AUCAUGGGAGGACCACAAUGCUGGAGGAAAUGCAAAACUCCGAAAUUUAAACUAGUACCGAUGGACCAUGGCAGGGAUGAAAAACUAACAAAACGGUCUUUUUACAAUUCGGAUAAGAAGAAAGUGAGAGAUGGGACCCGUAUCACUACGAAACAAGAAAUCUGUAGGGAGAAAUAGCUAAUGGGAAGCCGGGGAUUCGGAUCGAAUUUGUAAACUCGACCAAUUGGGAAACAGAUAAGCCUCUCUGAGGGCCCGAAAGUACGGUCCUCUCUCUCUCUCCUCCCCAAAAGUGCAGAUCCAAGAGCUGCCUUCGCUGUUUUAUGCUCUGUAAAAGCACCGGUUGUGGGGCAUGCACUCCCACCCUAAUUAUUUCUUGCGCUUUUCACUUAUAUAAAAGUGCAUUUUAGCAGACAGUUGCUACUCUCGAAUUCGCACUAUUUAACUGUACUCUCUCAGAAAAAGCUUUUGGGAUUUCAAAUUUUGUGUCGAAUUUUGUUUUCUUUGAUGAAUUCUAGCAAGAAAGUGGCAAACGCCGUCGGCGGUAAAACUGCCCGAGCGUGUGACAGCUGCAUAAAAAAGAGAGCUCGUUGGUACUGCGCUGCCGACGACGCUUUCUUAUGCCAAGCCUGCGACUCCGCCGUGCACUCAGCCAACCAGUUGGCCCAUCGGCACAAAAGAGUUCUCUUGAAGACGGCGUCGUCGCUCAAACCUAGCAACAAAGAUGAUCGAGCGAGCGCUGUUUCGGAGACCUCAGCGGCACCGUCUUGGCACCGCGGGUUCACGCGGAAGGCACGGACACCGAGAGGCGGGAAGUCCAUGACACAUCAUGGAAAAUCCCAGGAUGGCGUCCGGAACCUGUUUCCGCAGGUUCCGGAAGUUGGGGGAGAUGAUAAUAACUCGUACGAUGAAGAAAAUACAGAGGACCAGCAGCUGCUUUAUAGGGUUCCGAUAUUCGAUCCGUUUGUUGCGGAGCUUUGCAAUAACUCUGAUAAUUCUAAGGAAGAUGCAGUUCCUAAUUAUGAAGCUACCAAUCUUAUUACUGUUUCUGAUCAUGUCGGAAGCGAAUCAAAAGCAGUUUCGUCUUUGCCGAAUUUUAACGGCCACGAUGCGUUUCUGCCUCCGAGCGACAUGGAUCUUGCGGAGUUCGCGGCUGACGUGGAUAGUUUGCUGGGGAGAGGCCUUGAUGAUGACGAGUGUUUUGGGAUGGAAAGGUUAGGGUUGAUGGAUUGUAAAAAAAAGGAAUCGAAUGGUAGAGUGAAGCUUGAGGAGGAUGAUGAUCAAGAGGGAACAGACAACGUUGAUUUUAUGGGGUGCCAAUUAGGGGAGAGUGAGAUUGACAUGAUGAGGGAGCCGUUUGCAUUGAAUAUUGAAGAUUACGAUGACUCGCCAGCAUCGUGCGGUGAGCAGGAUGACAAACUGAGAGUGGGAAUCUAUAGUAAUUGUAGUACAGAAGAUCAUGAACGUGAGGAGGCUGACGACGAUGCAACAGAUAACAGCAAGAAGAGGAAGAUGAUUUUGAGGCUGGAUUACGAGGCGGUAAUUACAGCCUGGGAUGGCUCCCCGUGGACCUCCGGUGACCGCCCGGAUUUCGACUCCGAAUGCUUGCCUGACUACAUGAGUGCAUGUGGAGCUGAACUUCAUUACCCUUAUGGGGAUAUGAACGGGCUUGGAAUUCACCCGGCAAUGGCGGACGGAGGGAGGGAGGCGAGGGUGUCGAGAUAUAGAGAAAAGAGGAGGACAAGGCUGUUCUCGAAGAAAAUAAGGUACGAAGUUCGAAAGCUGAAUGCCGAGAAGAGACCAAGAAUGAAAGGGAGGUUUGUCAAGAAAGCAUCCUUUGCAGGAUCUGCUUUUCCCGUGCCUGCCAGAUGAACGUCCCUCCCGCCCGGUGGUUGAGUCCAUAGUUUACCUCAUAGUAAACUUGAGUUUGUGUAUACAUGCACAAGCAGGGGCAGAAUGUGUGAAAGCAAAGAAGAAGACAGCCGAUGAAAUUAGGACAAGGAAGAAGGGCAAAUGAUUACCUGGCACGUGACACGCACGAGCUCUGGACGGCCUCACAGUCGAACACUCCAGAUCGGCAGGAGUCCGAAAACAAGUUUGAUGUACGGAUUGCCUUGGUUUAAUUCCUGGAUUGGACAUUGUGAGUGGCC